rnacentral:rRNA from 1 species
CGGUGAAGAUGCCGCCUACCCGCAGAAGGACGGAAAGACCCUAUGCACCUUAACUGUAAGCUGUCACUGGUCGUUUGGUUUCCAUGCUUAGCGUAAGUGGAAGGCUUUGAAGCGGAACUUUCGGGUUUCGCGGAGCCGUCAAUGAAACACCACCCUUGGGUAUUGAACGAUCUAACCGCAGUCCGUGAAUCCGGAUGUGGGACCAUGUCAGCCGGUCAGUUUUACUGGGGCGGUAUCCUCCCAAAGAGUAACGGAGGAGCGCGAAGGUUGGCUCAGCGUGGUUGGCAAUCACGUGUUGAGUGCAUUGGCAUAAGCCAGCCUAACUGUGAGACCUACAAGUCGAACAGAUGCGAAAGCAGGCCAAAGUGAUCCGGUGGUUUAAUGUGGAAUUGCCAUCGCUUAACGGACAAAAGGUACGCUAGGGAUAACAGGCUGAUUUCAUCCAAGAGUUCACAUCGACGAUGNNCUCUAUCCUCUGUGGGCGCAGGAAAGUUGAGGGGUUCAAUUCCUAGUACGAGAGGACCGGAAUUGACGCACCUCUGGUGUUCCAGUUGUUCUGUCAAGAGCAUCGCUGGGCAGCUAUGUGCGGAAGGGAUAAGCGCUGAAAGCAUCUAAGCGCCAAGCCCAUCCCAAGAUAAGCUUUCCCUGAAGGAUCGUGGAAGACUACCACGUUGAUAGGCCACGGGUGCAAGCGCGGCAACGCGUUCAGCUCAGUGGUACUAAUCAUCCGUUUGUCUUGCAUUGAUC